rnacentral:rRNA from 1 species
AGAGUUUGAUCCUGGCUCAGGAUGAACGCUAGCUACAGGCUUAACACAUGCAAGUCGAGGGGCAGCAUUUUAGUUUGCUUGCAAACUAAAGAUGGCGACCGGCGCACGGGUGAGUAACACGUAUCCAACCUGCCGAUAACUCGGGGAUAGCCUUUCGAAAGAAAGAUUAAUAUCCGAUAGUAUAUUAAAACCGCAUGGUUUUACUAUUAAAGAAUUUCGGUUAUCGAUGGGGAUGCGUUCCAUUAGUUUGUUGGCGGGGUAACGGCCCACCAAGACUACGAUGGAUAGGGGUUCUGAGAGGAAGGUCCCCCACAUUGGAACUGAGACACGGUCCAAACUCCUACGGGAGGCAGCAGUGAGGAAUAUUGGUCAAUGGACGAGAGUCUGAACCAGCCAAGUAGCGUGAAGGAUGACUGCCCUAUGGGUUGUAAACUUCUUUUAUACGGGAAUAAAGUGAGCCACGUGUGGCUUUUUGUAUGUACCGUAUGAAUAAGGAUCGGCUAACUCCGUGCCAGCAGCCGCGGUAAUACGGAGGAUCCGAGCGUUAUCCGGAUUUAUUGGGUUUAAAGGGAGCGUAGGCGGACGCUUAAGUCAGUUGUGAAAGUUUGCGGCUCAACCGUAAAAUUGCAGUUGAUACUGGGUGUCUUGAGUACAGUAGAGGCAGGCGGAAUUCGUGGUGUAGCGGUGAAAUGCUUAGAUAUCACGAAGAACUCCGAUUGCGAAGGCAGCUUACUGGAUUGUAACUGACGCUGAUGCUCGAAAGUGUGGGUAUCAAACAGGAUUAGAUACCCUGGUAGUCCACACAGUAAACGAUGAAUACUCGCUGUUUGCGAUAUACAGUAAGCGGCCAAGCGAAAGCGUUAAGUAUUCCACCUGGGGAGUACGCCGGCAACGGUGAAACUCAAAGGAAUUGACGGGGGCCCGCACAAGCGGAGGAACAUGUGGUUUAA